rnacentral:rRNA from 1 species
UACGUAGGGUGCGAGCGUUAAUCGGAAUUACUGGGCGUAAAGUGUGCGCAGGUGGCCGCGCAAGUCGCGUGUGAAAUCCCCGAGCUUAACUUGGGAAUUGCGCUCGAAACUACGUGGCUCGAGUGUGGCAGAGGAAGGUGGAAUUCCACGUGUAGCGGUGAAAUGCGUAGAGAUGUGGAGGAACACCGAUGGCGAAGGCAGCCUUCUGGGCCAACACUGACGCUCAUGCACGAAAGCGUGGGGAGCAAACAGG